rnacentral:rRNA from 1 species
UACGAAGGGGGUUAGCGUUGCUCGGAAUCACUGGGCGUAAAGCGCACGUAGGCGGAUUGCUAAGUCAGGGGUGAAAUCCUGGAGCUCAACUCCAGAACUGCCUUUGAUACUGGCAACCUUGAGUCCGGGAGAGGUGAGUGGAACUGCGAGUGUAGAGGUGAAAUUCGUAGAUAUUCGCAAGAACACCAGUGGCGAAGGCGGCUCACUGGCCCGGUACUGACGCUGAGGUGCGAAAGCGUGGGGAGCAAACAGG